rnacentral:rRNA from 1 species
UACGAAGGGGGCUAGCGUUGUUCGGAUUUACUGGGCGUAAAGCGCACGUAGGCGGAUCGUUAAGUGAGGGGUGAAAUCCAGGGCUCAACCCUGGAACUGCCUUUCAUACUGGCGAUCUUGAGUCCGGAAGAGGUGAGUGGAACUCCUAGUGUAGAGGUGGAAUUCGUAGAUAUUAGGAAGAACACCAGUGGCGAAGGCGGCUCACUGGUCCGGUACUGACGCUGAGGUGCGAAAGCGUGGGGAGCAAACAGG